AUUGAACGCUGGCGGCAUGCCUUACACAUGCAAGUCGAACGGUAACGGGUCCUUCGGGAUGCCGACGAGUGGCGAACGGGUGAGUAAUAUAUCGGAACGUGCCCAGUAGUGGGGGAUAACUGCUCGAAAGAGCAGCUAAUACCGCAUACGACCUGAGGGUGAAAGGGGGGGAUCGCAAGACCUCUCGCUAUUGGAGCGGCCGAUAUCAGAUUAGCUAGUUGGUGGGGUAAAGGCCUACCAAGGCAACGAUCUGUAGUUGGUCUGAGAGGACGACCAGCCACACCGGGACUGAGACACGGCCCAGACUCCUACGGGAGGCAGCAGUGGGGAAUUUUGGACAAUGGGCGCAAGCCUGAUCCAGCAAUGCCGCGUGCAGGAAGAAGGCCUUCGGGUUGUAAACUGCUUUUGUCAGGGAAGAAAUCUUCUGGGCUAAUACCCCGGGAGGAUGACGGUACCUGAAGAAUAAGCACCGGCUAACUACGUGCCAGCAGCCGCGGUAAUACGCAGGGUGCGAGCGUUAAUCGGAAUUACUGGGCGUAAAGCGUGCGCAGGCGGCUUUGCAAGACAGAUGUGAAAUCCCCGGGCUCAACCUGGGAACUGCAUUUGUGACUGCAAGGCUAGAGUACGGCAGAGGGGGAUGGAAUUCCGCGUGUAGCAGUGAAAUGCGUAGAUAUGCGGAGGAACACCAAUGGCGAAGGCAAUCCCCUGGGCCUGUACUGACGCUCAUGCACGAAAGCGUGGGGAGCAAACAGGAUUAGAUACCCUGGUAGUCCACGCCCUAAACGAUGUCAACUGGUUGUUGGACGGCUUGCUGUUCAGUAACGAAGCUAACGCGUGAAGUUGACCGCCUGGGGAGUACGGCCGCAAGGUUGAAACCCAAAGGAAUUGACGGGGACCCGCACAAGCGGUGGAUGAUGUGGUUUAAUUCGAUGCGACGCGAAAAACCUUACCUACCCUUGACAUGUCAAGGAUUCUGCAGAGAUGUGGAAGUGCUCGAAAGAGAACUUGAACACAGGUGCUGCAUGGCCGUCGUCAGCUCGUGUCGUGAGAUGUUGGGUUAAGUCCCGCAACGAGCGCAACCCUUGUCAUUAGUUGCUACGCAAGAGCACUCUAAUGAGACUGCCGGUGACAAACCGGAGGAAGGUGGGGAUGACGUCAGGUCCUCAUGGCCCUUAUGGGUAGGGCUACACACGUCAUACAAUGGCCGGUACAGAGGGCUGCCAACCCGCGAGGGGGAGCCAAUCCCAGAAAACCGGUCGUAGUCCGGAUCGUAGUCUGCAACUCGACUGCGUGAAGUCGGAAUCGCUAGUAAUCGCGGAUCAGCUUGCCGCGGUGAAUACGUCCCCGGGUCU
rnacentral:rRNA from 1 species